GCAGCGGCCCGGGGCAGCCUCCUCCCCGCCGCCCCGCCGCGGGCUCCCGGGCCCCGCGGGGGCCGAUCCCCCCCGGCCUGCAGCCCAGCCUGCGGGGGGCGCAGCGCCUAGUCCCGCCCGCGUCGCCCGCCAGCCCCGGGACAGCCCGCCUGGCGCGCGGGGCUCUGCGCGCUGCGACCCUCCCCGGCAGUCCCGCCCGCCUCUCCUCGCCCUCUCUCUGCCUGGCCUCCAACUUUGCCUCUCGCUAUCCUCUCCGCCGGCGCCCCCUUUCCCGGCGGUCCCCGGGAUGGUCCCCGGCACCCCGAGGACGCCGAGGUUACGGGAAGUUCGGGGACUGGCGGGAGAAGGGGUUUGGGGGUGGUCCGCGGCGAGGGGCGCGGGGUGCAUCUUCUCUUCCUUUUAUGGUGAGUCCCGGGCGGAGGGCGCUUUCAAAGGGAGGUGGGAUUUGCGUUUUAUAGCCUGGGCCAUAAAGUAGGCCCUUGCUUGUAAACCUGCCCGCAUCUUCCUGAGGCUGGGGAGGUGCUACCAGCCCCGGGCUCCGGGCUCCGAGGAGGGAUUUUCUUUGAAAUUUCAAAGAGACGAGCUAAGGGGAGGGGGAGGGGCUCGAGAAUCCGGAUUUUAGGGCCGCUCAUCCGAGGUCUCCUCUAAGAAGGCGGGAAGGGGGAGGGGCGGGAAGCGUCCCGGGACUUUGAACACCGCCUCCCACCCCGCGGGAAGUGCGGGCUUGGUUUGUACCGCGGUGACCCCCGCCCCCUCCGAAGCCGCAGAGCCGGGGCCUCGCGCCAGCAGGGCUGGAGAUGCCUUCUUGGCGGCUGAGUUUAUUUAUUAUAGGAAGUCAUUCGCUCGUGGGGUAUUUAUGUGAUUUGGCGAGUGAUGUGCCCGGCCAGCGCCCUCCUUGGCUGCAGCCCCGCAGGAGGACCCGGAGUAGGGUGGGAUGGAGUGGGUCGUGGGAGGAGCGCGUCAGCGCCUGCCCGGGGACCCCCAGCUCCCGCGAGGACACGGAGGCGCGCACGCCGCUCGGUUUUCCUGGAAAGUGGAGAAGGAGCGUCCUGGGCAGGUCCUCUGAGCUCAUCCCCCCUCGGAUUGGGGCGGGUCUGUGACGGGGUCACUUAGGACACGACGUCCCCCCGCCAUUCCCUUCCCCCGCCCAGGGCGUUCGCGGUGGGCGCCCACCGCCAAGCCCCACUGUUCCCAAGGAUGCGCCAGGUGCUUCCCGUAGCGUCCUGGGUUGACCCUUAAAAAAACAGCACCCCUAGGAGGUGGCCGGCCCUCUCCUCCCAGGGUCUCUCCGGGUCACGAUCUUCCAAAGUUCGGAAACUCGCAGGAUCGCGUGUGCAAUCUCCCGCUACCUCCCGGGGGGCCGGGGAGAGGUCAGAGGAGCGAGUCCCGCGUCCACCGGCCUCGCUUGCCCCCUGCCCGUUUGAGGAUAGUUCCAGGGAGCAGGGUGGAGUGUGCGGACAUCUUUGGAGGCAGUGCUGGGGCUUCCCGCGUUGGCGGCGCUCCACCCGGCGUGGGGGGCGGCUGCACGGGCCCCCGCGGUGGGGACGCUGCGCACGGGGCAAGGUCUCCCUAGGAAGCGCCCGGGAAGGAGAUGGGGCCCGCCAGGAACCCCCCUCACUGACCAGCUUUCUGCACGCCGUGCAGGAGGGGGCCACUUCCUCGGAGAGUAUUGGCUUUUAAUUAAAACAAGCCCUACAAUUUUUACAUCGGGCUGCCACACUUGUGUAUCCCUUCUUCCUUGAAUUUAACCAGGAGUGAGCAGUGGACAGCUUCUUCCCUAUGAGAAGGAGGUGAAGCAGGACCUGAAAUCCCGUGCUCAGCUCCCACAUGCCCCGUGUCCAGGACAAGUCCUUUGCUGAAUCAGCGGCAGACACCACCCGGAGCCCUGCGGGAGCCUUUCCCUGUUCUUCCAGCAUGGAUCUGAAACUCCCUUCCCACUUUCUGCAGCCUCCCAGAGAUAGUUCAGGCUCCAGCCUCAUGUGAUAGCAUGAAGAGAAACUGGUUCCAACAGCUGUGUGCUCUGCUGCCCUCAUCCCAAACAACAGUUUAAAUGCACAAUUACGCUUUUCUCUAAGGCCCAAAAUAGGAUAGGAAAGAUCGUUUUGCUAUCCCUGAAUGCCUGUCACCCUUGUUUCGUAAGCAGGAAGUCAGUCCCAGAAUAGUUGUUCUGCUCCCUCCCUUCUAAUAAGUGCUGCGCUGAGUGUGCUUGCUUUGCCAGAUGGUUAAAACAGAGCAGGGGAUAGAAGGACAGAUGUCUUCACCCUCAUGGAGUUCACCUUCCAGUAGGAGGAGGCGAUAGGCCGGGGUCUGCACAUGUGCGUGCUACAGCCUGUUCCACGGUGCGUGGCGUGCGGGGCAGUAGAGACAGGAUUUCACCAUGUUGGCUAGGAUGGUCUCGAUCUCCUGACCUUGUGAUCCGCCCCUCCCUCAGCCUCCCAAAGUGCUGGGAUUACAGGCGUGAGCCACUGCACCCUGCCAGAAAACUCAUUCUUCUACUCCAUCCUACAGUUUUCCCUAAGAGAGAAACAAUAAAACGCCACCACGACCAAUGGCAAAAAGCUGGCACCCACUCCACGACUUUUCAUAUCUACACGUUUGUACAGCUUUAUUUUUAAGCAUUCUGAAAUUCUAUGCAGGAGAGACCCCAGCUAGGUUUAGGGAGUCCUAGGGUUUGUGGAGUAAAUGAAGUUUCUCCCUAGAAUUAGGGAGGGUAGAGACAGGCAGAGAACUGACAAUCCUAACAGCUGCUGUCCUCAGAGCCACUGUUUCUGAGAGCUGCUCGCUGAGUGCUUCUAGCGAGUUAAAUGGUGUUCGCCCAAAAGACCUGUUCACGUCCUGAUCCUGGGAACCUGUGGCUGUGAUCUUAUUUGGAAAAAGCUCUACAUUACGUCUUUGCAGAAGUAAUCAUGUUAAGGAUCUUGAGAGGACGUGACCCUGAAUUAUCCGGCUGUGCUUGACAUCCAAUGACUGGUGAUGUUGUAAGAGAAAGACGGAGGGAGAUGUAAGAUAUGAGAGAAGGCCACGCCGAGACUGGAGUGAUGUGGCCGUGAGCCGAGGAAUGCCUGGAGCCACCAGAAGCUGGCAAAGGCAGAAGGAGCCUCCUCUGGACCCUGUGGUGGGUACGCAGCCUGGCAGAUAUAUUCAUUUUGGACUUCUGGCCUCCAGGGCUGUGAGAGAAUACAUUUCUGCAGUUUUAAGCCACGCAAUCUGUGUCCCUGGGAAGCCCAAAUAGGGCGAGACCUUUUGCCAAGUGGUCUCCAAGUGUCACGUCAUCGAAUCCUUCUCCCGGGCUUGUGCCAUAGUCUUUCCACUUUAGAGAGGAGGAAACGGAGGCUCUGGGGCACAAAGCCAGUCAGUGGCGGGGCCUGACUUUCAACCCAGCCUGCAUGGGGUCAGAGAACCCACUUUCCCCGUGGGGCCUGCGGCCUAUGCUAAGGAUGCUUGUUCAUCUCUCCUGGGCCCGGGAGUGGUUCUUCUGGCCUAGAAGGCAAGAGAAGCCAGUCUUUCGGUUUCAAGGUUUCCCAUUAGUGGAGUCAAGCAAAAAUGGUGUGUUGCGCUUCUUCCUGAGCUCAGCCUGGGAGCACGGCCUUAACAUGCUCAGUGGAUCCCAAGACGGCAGCAUGGCGGUGCCAGCCUGGCAGCCUUAGCUCCUUGCAGCUGUGCUUGUGAAGGGAGCAGUGAGUGGCUUCCCUCUGUGACCACCUUGGGUCCUAAGUUUCACUGGGGCUGGGAUCCAUGCGUCUUGCAAUUGGCUAGGAAUUUCCCGGGCUUUCCCUCCCUUCCCUGUUCAGGGCACUGGGUGUGAGGCAUUGCAUCCGUUCUUCUGCUCACCUGCUUCCCCCUAAGAGUGUGAGCUGUAUAAAGGCAGGAACCAAACAGGAGCCUCCACGUGUUCCCAGUUCAAGGGCAGUGUCCCUUGUGUGUUUCUUCAAUAAUUCAGUGGAUGACUUAUUCUGCACGGACACUGCACACACUCGGCCCUGCCGUCUCCGGAGCUGGGAGGUGUGGAGCUGGCUCCUGACCUAUUUACACACUGAGGAGGGAUGUGGAAAACAGGAGGAGUCCCAGGGCUCCAAUGCAAAGAGGAGCCUCUUCAUUCCCUCUGCCGUGGCCGUGCAAGGGACAGCGCCUUGUGGGAUUGUGUCCUCCACCCAAUUAUCCUUAGCAUUAGUUUGCUAAGGAUAAUGGCCUCCAGCUCCACCCAUGUCCCUGCAAAGGACAUGAUCUCAUUCCUUUCUGUGUCUGCAUAGUAUUCCAUGGUGUAUAUGUACCGCGUUUUCUUUAUCGAGUCUAUCAUUGAUGGGCGCUUCAGUUGAUUCCAUGUCUUUGCUACUGUGACUCGUGCUGCAAUGAGCAUUCGCGUGC
rnacentral:lncRNA from 10 species